GGGCGCGUAGCUCAGGGGUAGAGCGCCUGCCUUACAAGCAGGAUGUCGGCGGUUCGAAACCGUCCGCGCCCA
rfam:Streptomyces pactum strain KLBMP 5084, complete genome.